GCUCCUACGGAACGUGAUGAUCCGGAUGGUCCGCCUCUCCCGCAGAGGCGAACUCGGCCGCCUAAUGGCCAUCCGGGGAGCGAGUGGCGAGACCGGUCCGUUCUGAC
rnacentral:ncRNA from 1 species